GGCAGGCUGUAUAAGUCUGGUUGGUAACAACUAGCAUGGCCCCUCUGAUUUGUACCCUUGUCUAUUUGCGCACUUAUGUUUCCUCGGUGGGCUUGCCUGCCGAUUGGACAAACUUAUAACCUUUUUAAUUAUUAAAUCAGCGUCUGAAACAAACAUAAUAAUUACAACUUUCAACAACGGAUCUCUUGGUUCUGGCAUCGAUGAAGAACGCAGCGAAAUGCGAUAAGUAGUGUGAAUUGCAGAAUUCAGUGAAUCAUCGAAUCUUUGAACGCACAUUGCGCCCCUUGGUAUUCCAUGGGGCAUGCCUGUUCGAGCGUCAUUUGUACUCUCAAGCUAAGCUUGGUGUUGGGUGUUUGUCCACUCCCGCGUGUUUGGACUCGCCUUAAAACCAUUGGCAGCCAGUGUUUUGGUAUUGAAGCGCAGCACAAUUUGCGAUCCAAGCCCAUGAAUACUAGCAACCAUGAAGUCCAUUUUUAACGCUUGACCUCGGAUCAGGUAGGGAUACCCGCUGAACUUAAGCAUAUCAAUAGCCGGGAGGA
rnacentral:rRNA from 1 species